UUGUGGGCCAGACCUGGUGUACGUGUCUGGGAUGAGCACAAAGGAGAGGAAUUUGACCUACGAGCGUUGCUUUUUGUAACCAUCAACGAUUGGCCUGCUCUCAGUAACCUUUCGGGACAGACAAAUAAGGGAUACAAUGCAUGCACGCACUGCUUACAUGAGACUGAAAGUGUACGUUUGGUUAAUUGUAAGAAGAACGUGUACCUGGGUCAUCGUCGAUUUCUUCCCCGAAAUCAUAACGUAAGAAAGAAAGGCAAGCAUUUCAACGGCAAGGCAGAUCACCGGCCGAAGCCUGCGGAACGUACUGGUGCUGAGAUAUUUGAUAUGGUCAAGGAUUUGAAAGUCAUCUUUGGAAAGGGUCCUGGCGGACAAUCAGUUCCGCGGGGAGUUGACGGGCACGCACCCAUGUGGAAGAAGAAAUCUAUAUUUUGGGAA
rnacentral:rRNA from 1 species